rnacentral:rRNA from 1 species
UGGUCACCUAUACUUAUACAUGCGAGUCGUUACGGUACAGCCCCUCUCGGCGGGCACUCGAGUGGCGAACGGGUGAGUAACACGUGGGUGAUCUGCCCCAAACUCUGGAUAAGCCUGGGAAACUGGGCUAAUACUGGAUAUGACCUUCUGCUUCAUGGUGGUUGGGGAAAGCUUUUGCGGUUUGGGAUGGGCCCGCGGCCUAUCAGCUUGUGGGGGGUAAUGGCCUACUCAUAGGCGACGACGGGUAGCCGACCUGAGAGUGAUCGGCCACACUGGACUGAGACACGCCCCAGACUCCUACGGGAGGCAGCCGUGGAAUUUUGCCAAUGGGCGCAAGCCUGAGCAGCGACGCCGUGAGGGAUGACGCCUUCGGGUGUAAACCUCUUCGAGUACGAAUGCGCAGUAGACGGUACUGCGAAGUACAAAAGCUAGCCGGGCGCGAAUAAAGCUUUUUUAUAGCCCCCGGGCUAGGGCCCUAAAAGGGGUGGUGUGUGGUGCUCCCGAGAUAAAAGGGGGGGGGGGUGGGCGCCCGCCCUGCCCUUCCCCCACUCAUCAAGUGUGGUGGAUGGGGGGCUUACUCCUCCCCCCCUCCGCAGCGUGUAGGCACAAGCUGAGGAUGCUGUGCAGGGAGGGCGCGAGCUGGCUCGUUGGUUUAUGUGAGAGCGUGUACGGCAUAUAAACAAAACAACUGCGUUUCUGGUUGUGUAGUGAGAGAUAAAGAAUAAUAGUGCGCCCCCCGCCCGCCCCGCGGCGGGCGGGGGGGGGGCCCGUUUGGCGUUGUUUUAUGUUUUACGGUCGGUGGUGCUGUCGGGGGCAGGGCUGGGUGUGCGAGCUGCGCUCGCUGGUGCUGUGUUGUUGGUGUUUCG